CUGGAGUGGGUUACCAUUUCCUUCUCCACAUAUGCUUAUUAGCUGUGUUUAUUUCCUCUUUUGAGAACUGACAUCUAUUUUACCCACUUUUCUACACUUAAGGAAACUGAGGUUUUGUCGUCAAUUUCCAGCCUUGAUAGAAUUAUAACCGCUUUCAGGCUUUGAGAAAUAUGAAGGGCCAAACUGUGAUCACUGAAGGAAUGCAUCGAUGAGGCAGAAGGGGAGUUAGAAACAGAGUACAGAUGUUUCAUGUCUGCCGUCACUACGGCAGCAGCAGCAAGUGGAGCCUGGAGCUGGGUGGCCUCUGUGUCUACCACAUACUCAUAACACAUCGACUUGGAAUCUAAAUAAUUCCAGGGCUCAUGGUCUCUUCCAGAAGUCACUGUACCACCAUUAUUCCAUGGUCUGAAACCACACUGGAAAAGAGGAGACCCCCGAGACCCCUGCUGUGCCUUCUCACAGAACUAUGAAGUGGCAGAAACCAUGUAUGCAUCCAGGUUCUUCAAUUUCCAAGCUUUUGUGCUUCAUCGCCAUGGAUACUGCCUCCUUGAGAAUGCUUUCUACGUACCAUCACCCACUUGGAGCGUAAGAUGCUCCAAGAGUCUGAGGGCCAGCACCAUCCAUCAUCCAGCUGCGUACAUUUACUAAUAUAAAUUAAAAGUCCUUUUAAAAUAAAAGUAUAGAAUGAGUACUUUGACUUGGC
ensembl:lncRNA